UAAGCGGAGGAAAAGAAGCCAACAGGGAUUGCCCUAGUAACGGCGAGUGAAGCGGCAACAGCUCAAAUUUGAAAUCUGGCUUCGGCCCGAGUUGUAAUUUGCAGAGGAUGCUUUUGGUGCGGUGCCUUCCGAGUUCCCUGGAACGGGACGCCACAGAGGGUGAGAGCCCCGUAUGGUCGGACACCAAUCCUGUGUAAAGCUCCUUCGACGAGUCGAGUAGUUUGGGAAUGCUGCUCUAAAUGGGAGGUAAAUCUCUUCUAAAGCUAAAUACCGGCCAGAGACCGAUAGCGCACAAGUAGAGUGAUCGAAAGAUGAAAAGCACCUUGAAAAGGGGGUUAAACAGUACGUGAAAUUGUUGAAAGGGAAGCACUUGUGACCAGACUUGGGCCGGGCGGCUCAUCAGGGGUUCUCCCCUGUGCACUCCGCCCGGUACAGGCCAGCAUCGGUUCUUGCCGGGGGAUAAGAACGGAAGGAACGUGGCCCCCCUUCGGGGGGGUGUUAUAGCCUGCCGUACGAUACCCUGGCGGGGACCGAGGUUCGCGCUUCCGCAAGGAUGCUGGCGUAAUGGUUACUAGUGACCCGUCUUGAAACACGGACCAAGGAGUCGUCCAUUAGAGCGAGCGUUUGGGUGUCAAACCCGCACGCGUAAUGAAAGUGAAAUUAGGUGAGAGCUUCGGCGCAUCAUCGACCGAUCCUGAUGUUCUCGGAAGGAUUUGAGUAAGAGUUUUAACGGACGGACCCGAAAGACAGUGAACUAUGCUUGUAUAGGGUGAAGCCAGAGGAAACUCUGGUGGAGGCUCGCAGCGGUUCUGACGUGCAAAUCGAUCGUCAAAUAUGAGCAUGGGGGCGAAAGACUAAUCGAACUGUCUAGUA
rnacentral:rRNA from 1 species